AAUGAACGCUGGCGGCAUGCCUAACACAUGCAAGUCGAACGAGACCGUCGGGUCCAGUGGCGCACGGGUGCGUAACGCGUGGGAACCUGCCCUUAGGUUCGGAAUAACUCCCCGAAAGGGGUGCUAAUACCGGACAAUGUCUUCGGACGAAAGUUUUAUCGCCUUGGGAUGGGCCCGCGUUGGAUUAGCUAGUUGGUAGGGUAAAAGCCUACCAAGGCGACGAUCCAUAGCUGGUCUGAGAGGAUGAUCAGCCACACUGGGACUGAGACACGGCCCAGACUCCUACGGGAGGCAGCAGUGGGGAAUAUUGGACAAUGGGCGAAAGCCUGAUCCAGCAAUGCCGCGUGAGUGAUGAAGGCCUUAGGGUUGUAAAGCUCUUUUACCCGGGAUGAUAAUGACAGUACCGGGAGAAUAAGCUCCGGCUAACUCCGUG
rnacentral:rRNA from 1 species